rnacentral:rRNA from 1 species
UUAAGCGACUAAGCGUACACGGUGGAUGCCCUGGCAGUCAGAGGCGAUGAAGGACGUGCUAAUCUGCGAUAAGCGCCGGUAAGGUGAUAUGAACCGUUAUAACCGGCGAUUUCCGAAUGGGGAAACCCAGUGUGAUUCGUCACACUAUCAUUAACUGAAUCCAUAGGUUAAUGAGGCGAACCGGGGGAACUGAAACAUCUAAGUACCCGAGGAAAAGAAAUCAACCGAGAUUCCCCCCAGUAGCGGCGAGCGAACGGGGAGGAGCCCAGAGCCUGAAUCAGCAUGUGUGUUAGUGGAAGCGUCUGGAAAGGCGCGCGAUACAGGGUGACAGCCCCGUACACAAAAGCGCAUGUGCUGUGAGCUCGAUGAGUAGGGGCGGGACACGUGGUAUCCUGUCUGAAUAUGGGGGGACCAUCCUCCAAGGCUAAAUACUCCUGACUGACCGAUAGUGAACCAGUACCGUGAGGGAAAGGCGAAAAGAACCCCGGCGAGGGGAGUGAAAAAGAACCUGAAACCGUGUACGUACAAGCAGUGGGAGCACCCUUCGGGGUGUGACUGCGUACCUUUUGUAUAAUGGGUCAGCGACUUAUAUUCUGUAGCAAGGUUAACCGUAUAGGGGAGCCGGAGGGAAACCGAGUCUUAAUUGGGCGUUAAGUUGCAGGGUAUAGACCCGAAACCCGGUGAUCUAGCCAUGGGCAGGUUGAAGGUUGGGUAACACUAACUGGAGGACCGAACCGACUAAUGUUGAAAAAUUAGCGGAUGACCUGUGGCUGGGGGUGAAAGGCCAAUCAAACCGGGAGAUAGCUGGUUCUCCCCGAAAGCUAUUUAGGUAGCGCCUCGUGAAUUCAUCUCCGGGGGUAGAGCACUGUUUCGGCUAGGGGGCCCAUCCCGGCUUACCAACCCGAUGCAAACUGCGAAUACCGGAGAAUGUUAUCACGGGAGACACACGGCGGGUGCUAACGUCCGUCGUGAAGAGGGAAACAACCCAGACCGCCAGCUAAGGUCCCAAAGUCCAUGGUUAAGUGGGAAACGAUGUGGGAAGGCCCAGACAGCCAGGAUGUUGGCUUAGAAGCAGCCAUCAUUUAAAGAAAGCGUAAUAGCUCACUGGUCGAGUCGGCCUGCGCGGAAGAUGUAACGGGGCUAAACCAUGCACCGAAGCUGCGGCAGCGAACGUAUCACCCAAGACAACUUUACGGAGUUGACGAUUGACGGAGCGAAGCGACGUCAAAGCGUUCAUUAAAGUCGAGUUGGCUUAGGGAUACGUUCGUUGGGUAGGGGAGCGUUCUGUAAGCCUGUGAAGGUGUGUCGUGAGGCAUGCUGGAGGUAUCAGAAGUGCGAAUGCUGACAUAAGUAACGAUAAAGCGGGUGAAAAGCCCGCUCGCCGGAAGACCAAGGGUUCCUGUCCAACGUUAAUCGGGCAGGGUGAGUCGACCCCUAAGGCGAGGCCGAAAGGCGUAGUCGAUGGGAAACGGGUUAAUAUUCCCGUACUUGGUGUUACUGCGAAGGGGGGACGGAGAAGGCUAUGUUGGCCGGGCGACGGUUGUCCCGGUUUAAGCGUGUAGGUGUGUGUUCCAGGUAAAUCCGGUUCACUUUAACACUGAGGCGUGACGACGAGGCACUACGGUGCUGAAGCAACAAAUGCCCUGCUUCCAGGAAAAGCCUCUAAGCAUCAGGUAACACGAAAUCGUACCCCAAACCGACACAGGUGGUCAGGUAGAGAAUACCAAGGCGCUUGAGAGAACUCGGGUGAAGGAACUAGGCAAAAUGGUGCCGUAACUUCGGGAGAAGGCACGCUGACACGUAGGUGAAGUGAUUUACUCAUGGAGCUGAAGUCAGUCGAAGAUACCAGCUGGCUGCAACUGUUUAUUAAAAACACAGCACUGUGCAAACACGAAAGUGGACGUAUACGGUGUGACGCCUGCCCGGUGCCGGAAGGUUAAUUGAUGGGGUCAGCGUAAGCGAAGCUCCUGAUCGAAGCCCCGGUAAACGGCGGCCGUAACUAUAACGGUCCUAAGGUAGCGAAAUUCCUUGUCGGGUAAGUUCCGACCUGCACGAAUGGCGUAAUGAUGGCCAGGCUGUCUCCACCCGAGACUCAGUGAAAUUGAACUCGCUGUGAAGAUGCAGUGUACCCGCGGCAAGACGGAAAGACCCCGUGAACCUUUACUAUAGCUUGACACUGAACAUUGAGCCUUGAUGUGUAGGAUAGGUGGGAGGCUUUGAAGUGUGGACGCCAGUCUGCAUGGAGCCGACCUUGAAAUACCACCCUUUAAUGUUUGAUGUUCUAACGUGGACCCGUAAUCCGGGUUGCGGACAGUGUCUGGUGGGUAGUUUGACUGGGGCGGUCUCCUCCUAAAGAGUAACGGAGGAGCACGAAGGUUGGCUAAUCCUGGUCGGACAUCAGGAGGUUAGUGCAAUGGCAUAAGCCAGCUUGACUGCGAGCGUGACGGCGCGAGCAGGUGCGAAAGCAGGUCAUAGUGAUCCGGUGGUUCUGAAUGGAAGGGCCAUCGCUCAACGGAUAAAAGGUACUCCGGGGAUAACAGGCUGAUACCGCCCAAGAGUUCAUAUCGACGGCGGUGUUUGGCACCUCGAUGUCGGCUCAUCACAUCCUGGGGCUGAAGUAGGUCCCAAGGGUAUGGCUGUUCGCCAUUUAAAGUGGUACGCGAGCUGGGUUUAGAACGUCGUGAGACAGUUCGGUCCCUAUCUGCCGUGGGCGCUGGAGAACUGAGGGGGGCUGCUCCUAGUACGAGAGGACCGGAGUGGACGCAUCACUGGUGUUCGGGUUGUCAUGCCAAUGGCACUGCCCGGUAGCUAAAUGCGGAAGAGAUAAGUGCUGAAAGCAUCUAAGCACGAAACUUGCCCCGAGAUGAGUUCUCCCUGAGACUUAGAGUCUCCUGAAGGAACGUUGAAGACGACGACGUUGAUAGGCCGGGUGUGUAAGCGCAGCGAUGCGUUGAGCUAACCGGUACUAAUGAACCGUGAGGCUUAACCUU